AUGGUGGGGCUGCGGGCGGCCGAGACGUUGGACGAGUCCGGAGGGGGCCGUGUGAGUCCUGGGGCGUCCCUGACCCUGGUCUGCAAGGGCUCCGGAUACACCUUCAGCAGCUUCGGCAUGGCAUGGAUCCGACAGGCGCCCGGGAAGGCGCUCGAGUUGGUGGCGAGUGUUAACAGCGAGGGUGGUAGCACAUGGUACUUGCCGGCGGUGCAGGGACGCUUCACCCUCUCCAGGAACGACGGGCAGAGCACGCUCACCCUGCAGAUGAACAGCCUCAAGGCCAGACCCCAAACAGCCUCAAGGCCGAAGACACCGCCACCUACUACUGCGCGAGAGCU